rnacentral:tRNA from 4 species
GGAGAGGUGCCCGAGUGGCUUAAGGGAACGGUUUGCUAAACCGUCAGUGGUCUAAAAACCGCUUCGCGGGUUCGAAUCCCGCUCUCUCCGCCA